rnacentral:misc_RNA from 1 species
GAUGAAGAACGCAGCGAAAUGCGAUACUUGGUGUGAAUUGCAGAAUCCCGUGAACCAUCGAGUCUUUGAACGCAAGUUGCGCCCGAAGCCAUUAGGCCGAGGGCACGCCUGCCUGGGCGUCACACGUCGUUGCCCCCCCAUCUACUCCUUCGGGAUUGCGGGGGGCGGGUGAUGGCCUCUCGUGCGCCUCGUCGCGCGGUUGGCCUAAAUGCCAAGUCCUCGGCGACGCACGCCACGACAAUCGGUGGUUGCGAAACCUCGGUUGCCUGUCGUGUGCGGUCGUCGCGCAUCGAGGGCUCGAAAAAAUUGCCGGGCUUCGGCUCGACUUUCAACGCGACCCCAGGUCAGGCGGGGUUACCCGCUGAAUUUAAGCAUAUCAAUAAGCGGAGGA